rnacentral:rRNA from 1 species
UACGAAGGGGGCUAGCGUUGUUCGGAUUUACUGGGCGUAAAGCGCACGUAGGCGGAUAUUUAAGUCAGGGGUGAAAUCCCGGGGCUCAACCCCGGAACUGCCUUUGAUACUGGGUAUCUCGAGUUCGAGAGAGGUGAGUGGAAUUCCGAGUGUAGAGGUGAAAUUCGUAGAUAUUCGGAGGAACACCAGUGGCGAAGGCGGCUCACUGGCUCGAUACUGACGCUGAGGUGCGAAAGCGUGGGGAGCAAACAGG